rnacentral:misc_RNA from 1 species
AGCAGCCGCGGUAAUUCCAGCUCCAAUAGCGUAUAUUAAAGUUGUUGCAGUUAAAAAGCUCGUAGUUGAAUUUCGGGGUUAGUAGGUUGGUCAUGCCUCUGGUAUGUACUGGUCUCACUGAUUCCUCCUUCCUGAUGAGCCGUAAUGCCAUUAAUUUGGUGUUGCGAGGAAUUUGGACUGUUACUUUGAAAAAAAUUUAGAGUGUUUAAGGCAAGCUAACGCUUGAAUACAUUAGCAUGGAAUAAUGAAAUAGGACGUUCGAUCCUAUUUUGUUGGUUUCUAGGAUUGACGUAAUGAUUAAUAGGGAUAGUUGGGGGCAUUAGUAUUCAAUUGUCAGAGGUGAAAUUCUUGGAUUUAUUGAAGACUAACUACUGCGAAAGCAUUUGCCAAGGAUGUUUUCAUUAAUCAAGAACGAAAGUUAGGGGAUCGAAGACGAUCAGAUACCGUCGUAGUCUUAACCAUAAACUAUGCCGACUAGGGAUCGGAUGAUGUUAAUUUUUUUAAUGACUCAUUCGGCGCC